rnacentral:lncRNA from 1 species
AUAAAUAUAUCAUUAUGUCAUUUAAUUCAAUUGAAAUACGAACACAAGUUGGGCAAUAUUAUAAUUUUGAAAUCGCUGAUUAUACUCUUAGGAAUAAACGUCAUAUAUUUGCUUCUGUCAAGCGGAAAAUCUUCUUAAUGACAAAAUGCCGAUAUGGCAAGCUUCAAAAUAGAUUUUGAUCAAUAGGCUGAACGUUGUCUGGGAUAGAAAAUAUUUAUCUACAAACGACGUAAGCUAAACAUAUUACGGCUGUGUUCAACUAUUUCUGAAGAGAGGGUAUAGACUAUACAUGCGCAAUAUUUUGACUUCGAUGUUAAACGGUAAGUUACUGAACAUUUGACUAGUUUUAGAUUAGAUUGUACAUAUGCCAAAUCUCGCGCUUUUAUCUCAGGGCAUAUGGUUUUAUCAUCAGAAUCUCAUAUUAUUCUCACGAUUUCUAAUUACUACAUUUUCACGCAUAACUGAUAGAAGAAAUAUUAAAGUUAAAGCUUGUUCAUACAGGACGUGACGAAUUCGCAAACUUUACAGAAAUUUUCACGAUUUUGCUUUUUCAACGUAUGAAAUCGGACGAAUUCGAGCGUAAUUAAAGGUACGUCAUGCAAACAAGUACAACCAGAUACAUUUUGUUAUGACUAUGACCCGAGUUCGUCCGUGUGAAUGGAGUCUGGGGCGUUUUAGAGCUGAAGUCGCGCAAUUGGC